rnacentral:rRNA from 1 species
CCCUUAGAUGUUCUGGGCCGCACACGCGCUACACUGAAGGAGGCAGCGUGUACUCCUGGAUCGAAAGAUUUGGGUAACCCGCGAAUCUCCUUCGUGCUAGGGAUUGAGUUUUGCAAUUAUCCUUCAUGAACGAGGAAUUCCCAGUAAGUGCAAGUCAUAAGCUUGCGCUGACUACGUCCCUGCCCUUUGUACACACCGCCCGUCGCUACUACCGAUUGAAUGAUUUAGUGAGGACUUCGGACUGGGACCGAUGCGGCUUUCGGGCUGCGUCGGUAUUCUGGAAAGAUGUCCAAACUGUAUCAUUUAGAGGAAGUAAAANUCGUANCA